GGAGGAGGAGGGGAAAAAAAGAUGGCGGAGAAAUACUGGACGGUGAUGACGACAGGUGAUGACGACAGGUGAUGGAUCUUCGGUUGGUGACUCUCUCCGACCAGCAGGACGUUCUUCACGAGGGGCCGUAGAGGGCGCUGCUGCCAACCCCAGGAUCAUCUGGACAAACACGGGACAUCAAACCAAGGACCGACUCAGUCCAAGGUAAGAAACUCAGACCCUCCUGCCCCGUCCUCCCGCCCCGUCCUCCUGCC